ensembl:snRNA U2 U2 spliceosomal RNA
AUCACUUCUCGACCUUUUGGCUAAGAUCAAGUGUAGUAUCUGCUCUUAUCAGUUUAAAUUUACCUUCUUCAUAAUAACUUCUUCCUCUGGGCUUCUACAGCAUUUUGAAAAACCUAU